rnacentral:tRNA from 1 species
AGAGUAUAGCUCAGUGGUAAAGUGCAUGGCUAGCAUGCACGAUGUCCUGGGUUCAAUCCCCAGUACCUCUG